rnacentral:rRNA from 1 species
UACAGAGGUCUCAAGCGUUGUUCGGAUUCAUUGGGCGUAAAGGGUGCGUAGGCGGCGCGGUAAGUCGGGUGUGAAAUCUCGGAGCUUAACUCCGAAGCUGCAUUCGAUACUGCCGUGCUUGAGGACUGGAGAGGAGACUGGAAUUUACGGUGUAGCGGUGAAAUGCGUAGAUAUCGUAAGGAAGACCAGUGGCGAAGGCGGGUCUCUGGACAGUUCCUGACGCUGAGGCACGAAGGCCAGGGGGAGCAAACGGG